rnacentral:lncRNA from 1 species
GCAUUAGGGUUUUAAACCCUAACUGAACUUUUUUCCAUUCAGCCAGCAUUAGGGUUUUAAACCCUAAACUAAGUUUUUCCAUGCAGUCAGCAUUAGGGUUUUAAACCCUAAACUGACCUUUUUUCCUUUAAUCAGCAUUAGGGUUUUAAACCCUAACUGAACUUUUUUCCAUUCAGCCAGCAUUAGGGUUUUAAACCCUAAACUGAGCUUUUCCAUGCAAUCAGCAUUAGGGUUUUAAACCCUAAACUGAGCUUUUCCAUGCAAUCUGCAUUAGGGUUUUAAACCCUAAACUGAAUUUCUCCUUUAGUCAGCAUUAGGGUUCUAAACCCUAAACUGAAUUUUUUUCCAUUCAGCCAGCAUUAGGGUUUUAAACCCUAAACUGAGCUUUUCCAUGCAAUCAGCAUUAGGGUUUAAACCCUAAACUGAGAUUUUCCAUUCAGUCAGCAUUAGGGUUUUAAACCCUAAACU